UCUCUGCCUUCUUAAGUGUAUUAAUACCAUUAUCAAUGGAGUGGGUUCAUUACCAUGAGAGUGGGUUUGGUAUAAAAGUGAGUUUGGUUCCCUCUUGUUCUCUCUCAUCCACAUGUGAUGUCUCUCCAUGUGAUACUUCCUGCCAUGUUAUGCUGCAGCAAGAAGACCCUCACCAGAUGCAGCCCCUCUAUGUUGGACUUCCCAGCCUCCGGAAGUUAGAAAUGUGCUACAACCACUCAAGGUCUGCAAACAGAUUCCUAUUUAGAUGUUGUUGAGAGUUUCGUUCUUGUCGCCCAGGCUGGAGUGUCAUUUUAAC